rnacentral:pre_miRNA from 1 species
AGUACAACUGCUGGGUCAUAUGGUAAAUGUUUAACUUUAAAAGAAACUGUUUUCCAAAGUGGCUGUACCAUUUUACAUUCCUACCAGCAGU